UACGUAGGGUGCAAGCGUUGUCCGGAAUUAUUGGGCGUAAAGAGCUCGUAGGCGGUUUGUCGCGUCGAAUGUGAAAACCCGUGGCUCAACCACGGGCCUGCAUCCGAUACUGGCGGGCUCGAGGCAGGCAGGGGAGAUCGGAAUUCCUGGUGUAGCGGUGAAAUGCGCAGAUAUCAGGAGGAACACCGGUGGCGAAGGCGGAUCUCUGGGCCUGUCCUGACGCUCAGGCGCGAAAGCUAGGGGAGCAAACAGG
rnacentral:rRNA from 1 species